GCCGGGAUGGCGGAAUUUGGUAGACGCCUGGGACUUAAAAUCCCAUGUCCUUUUUAGGACGUGUCGGUUCGAGUCCGACUCCCGGCACCA
rnacentral:tRNA from 1 species